UCGAGAAUCUUCGGCAAUGGGCGAAAGCCUGACCGAGCAAUGCCGCGUGCGGGAUGAAGGCCCUCGGGUUGUAAACCGCUGUCGUAGGGGAGAAAGGCUUCGUGAAGAGCGAGGUUUGAUCUAUCCUAGGAGGAAGUCCGGGCUAAGUUCGUGCCAGCAGCCGCGGUAACACGAACCGGACAAACGUUAUUCGGAAUUAUUGGGCUUAAAGGGUGCGUAGGCGGUGCGGUAAGUGAGGUGUGAAAGCCCUCGGCUCAACCGAGGAAUUGCGCUUCAUACUGCCGUGCUAGAGGGAGACAGAGGUAAGCGGAACUGAUGGUGGAGCGGUGAAAUGCGUUGAUAUCAUCAGGAACACCGGUGGCGAAAGCGGCUUACUGGGUCUUCUCUGACGCUGAGGCACGAAAGCUAGGGUAGCGAACGGGAUUAGAUACCCGCGUAGUCCCUGAGCGGGCUGGCAAGGCGCAU
rnacentral:rRNA from 1 species